GCUCUUACGGGACCUGCGGAGACGCAUUCCGUCAGUGUGUCCUGCUAAGAAAAACGAGACGAAAACACACAAAGCAUCCAUCGUCGUUUAUUUCUUACAAACAUCCAGCCUAAUUGAUCCACUUAAACCUCUUAAUUACUCCAUAAUAAAUUAUAAAAAAUAAUAUACUAUAGUAUUACUAGUCCCUAUUCAUUCUAGCGUGUGCAGAAACAAUUCAUCAGCUUUCCUUUUUGACGAGUCCCCGGUGUCCCGAACGUGUGCUCCUCUACAGGGACAGCCCGUGUGCGUGUUUGGUUAUAAGUAAUACAGUGCAUUAAUAGGAGAAUACACUAAACUGCAAAGAGUGUGUGUCAAGUAAGCAACAAAGGGCAUUACUGAAUUAUUACUGCUAGGUAAGCAUGAUAACCUGUAAGGUGUGUGUGUGUGUGUGUGUGUGUGUGUGUGUGUGUGUGUGUGUAAAU